CAGCGGCGGCGAAGGGCAUGCCGGAGAUGUGGAAGAGGAUGUUGGCUUAUUCUGCAACGGCGGAAGUGAGGUCGUUCGUGACUCAAACGACAUGCCCACUGAUUGCGAGAAAGUUGCAUCUGUGGGAGAAGAUGGAGAUGCAGAUGGUGUCAUCGUCAACAAUUCAAAGGGCUCCUGCUGGAGUCGACGGUAACAGACACAUGUGAUGAUCCAGAUUGGUCUGCAAGAGGUUCCGGCAAAACAUGUGCUAAAGCAUUGGAAAAGGGAUGCAAGGGAUAUACUGCCUUCAGAAUUUAUCCGUUACCAGAAAGACAAAGGUCCUCUCAAGUACUCCUAGCGGCGACAUAACAAUCUGCAUCUACUUUGCUUUGAAAUUGUUAGACUUGGUGACAUCAAUGUCGAUGCAUAUACUCUUGUCAUGGAGCAGCUAAGAAAUGCAAAGGCAUUGCUUGAACCGGUAGCCGUUGUACGUGAUGGCAUGGGAUUAUCCGACAGAGAAAUGGCAGGUGAUUCUACAGUCUCGUCUAUAGCGCACAAACAACAUUUUGGUCCAGUGAAUCAGGUGCAGAGUGACUCGCAAUGUUUAGACAGCUUUGGGGCACCAUCCAAGAAGAGACCAGCGGGGCGGCCUACAACAAGCCGCGACAAAGCGCUAUAUGAACAACCGGCUAAAAGGAGCCGUUUUUGUUCAAUCUGCCAUGGUCAAGGGCACAAGAGCACAACAUGUCCGCAGCGCGGUGAUCUUCCGAAGGCGCCAAGGAAGUCGCCUCGCUGCUUCAGGUGGAGUCUGACAGGACACAGGAGGAACACUUGCACCAACACGCCUAGGGCGGAUUUCUACUAGUGAUGUUGUUAUGUUUUUAUGGUUGAAGUGUAGCAGUUCAUUGAACUGUGCUUAUGUCGGAUGUUAGGCUGCUAGCAACUCUGCACUAUGAUAGUGAGAAUCUGUAUCUGUACUUUGCUGUUGUGUUCGAUAAUUACUCAGAGACUCCGUGAUUUCAGUUUCA